UACGGGGGGUGCGAGCGUUGUCCGGAAUCACUGGGCGUAAAGGGCGCGUAGGUGGUUUGAUAAGGGUGUGGUGAAAGUCCGGAGCUCAACUCCGGAUCUGCCGUGCCGACUGUCAAACUCGAGGGCUGUAGAGGCAGACGGAAUUCCGGGUGUAGCGGUGGAAUGCGUAGAGAUCCGGAGGAAGACCGGUGGCGAAGGCGGUCUGCUGGGCAGUUUCUGACACUGAGGCGCGACGAGCCAGUGGGGGAGCAAACAGG
rnacentral:rRNA from 1 species